AACGAACGCUGGCGGCAUGCCUAACACAUGCAAGUCGAACGAGACCUUCGGGUCUAGUGGCGCACGGGUGCGUAACGCGUGGGAACCUGCCCUUAGGUUCGGAAUAACUCCCCGAAAGGGGUGCUAAUACCGGAUAAUGUCUUCGGACCAAAGAUUUAUCGCCUUUGGAUGGGCCCGCGUUGGAUUAGCUAGUUGGUAGGGUAAAAGCCUACCAAGGCGACGAUCCAUAGCUGGUCUGAGAGGAUGAUCAGCCACACUGGGACUGAGACACGGCCCAGACUCCUACGGGAGGCAGCAGUGGGGAAUAUUGGACAAUGGGCGAAAGCCUGAUCCAGCAAGGCCGCGUGAGUGAUGAAGGCCUUAGGGUUGUAAAGCUCUUUUACCCGGGAUGAUGAUGACAGUACCGGGAGAAUAAGCUCCGGCUAACUCCGUG
rnacentral:rRNA from 1 species